rnacentral:rRNA from 1 species
GGUUGAUCCUGCCAGUAGUCAUAUGCUUGUCUCAAAGAUUAAGCCAUGCAUGUCUAAGUUCAAGCGAAAAUAAAGUGAAACCGCGAAUGGCUCAUUACAUCAGUUAUGGUUCCUUAGAUCGCACUUACUACUUGGAUAACUGUGGUAAUUCUAGAGCUAAUACAUGCACUGAGCUCCAACCUUCACGGAAGGAGCGCUUUUAUUAGAUCAAAGCCAAUCGGGUCUUCGGAUCCGUUUUGUUGGUGACUCUGAAUAACUUUGCUGAUCGCAUGGUCUUGCACCGGCGACGUAU